GAGGGGCAGCGGGGUGUAGCAAUACAUCGCCGGCGACCGGCGCACGGGUGCGUAACACGUAUGGAAUCUGCCCUUUACUGGGGGAUAGCCCGGAGAAAUCCGGAUUAAUACCCCAUAACAAUCGAGGUGGCAUCACCUUGAUUUGAAAGCUCCGGCGGUAAAGGAUGACCAUGCGCACGAUUAGCUAGUUGGUGAGGUAACGGCUCACCAAGGCUACGAUCGUUAGGGGGCCUGAGAGGGUUAUCCCCCACACUGGUACUGAGACACGGACCAGACUCCUACGGGAGGCAGCAGUGAGGAAUAUUGCGCAAUGGAGGCAACUCUGACGCAGCCAUGCCGCGUGCAGGAAGAAGGCGCUACGCGUUGUAAACUGCUUUUAACCGGGAAGAAACCCCAGGACGUGUCCUGGGUUGACGGUACCGGAGGAAUAAGCACCGGCUAACUUCGUGCCAGCAGCCGCGGUAAUACGAAGGGUGCAAGCGUUAUCCGGAUUCAUUGGGUUUAAAGGGUGCGUAGGCGGAGCGUUAAGUCAGUGGUGAAAUCCUGCAGCUUAACUGUAGACUUGCCAUUGAUACUGGCGCUCUUGAGUGCGCUUGAAGUAGGCGGAAUGUGUCGUGUAGCGGUGAAAUGCUUAGAUAUGACACAGAACACCGAUUGCGAAGGCAGCUUACUAAGGCGAUACUGACGCUGAGGCACGAAAGCGUGGGGAUCGAACAGGAUUAGAUACCCUGGUAGUCCACGCCGUAAACGAUGAUCACUCGUCAUUGGCGAUAUACGGUCAGUGACCUAGCAAAAGCGUUAAGUGAUCCACCUGGGGAGUACGAUCGCAAGAUUG
rnacentral:rRNA from 1 species